UUCUCGCCUCCAAAUCCGGACCCCUUCCCCUUGCCGCCUUCCCCGGCCGAGUACGCCAUGUCUAACCCUACGGCUGCCUCUGGAUCCCGGCUUCGCGCUGGCGCAUGCUCGUCCCCUCAGAGGCCACUUGCCUCGAUUUUUCAUCCUUCAUUAGGUACAUGUUCCCAGUCUUCUGGAGUGGUUGUGUUGAUCUUGCUUAUUUAGAUCCUUUUGCGAUGUAGUUUUUGUUGCAGUUCUGUUCGAUGUAUCAUGAGAGUAUACACCUUUGUGUGUGGAUGCGGCAAUUUUUUGAGGUCUUUGGCUGUUCUGAAGGUCUAAUGAAUAACCUAAUUCGAAUAUUCACCAUUACAUCUGCUAUUUGAGGAACAGUAGUAUUGGACGGGGGAGAAAAGUCUUCUUUGUGAAACUACAAGUACUGUAACACAGUGGUCCUCUUCCGAAGCUUUACAAGAAACAUGCACAUCGUUGUGGUUCAGGAACCCCUUUCAACUUUGUGAAUCGCCAAUGCUUUUCGAGUGGUGGGUUCUGCUGCUGCUGCUUGAUUAUUUCUUCAGUCCAAGUCCGUGAAUGUGCUGCAAAAGAGAGGACGCUUUGGGCCUACCCACAUGACUUGCUUGAGCGAGGCCUAGUGGCGCCUGCUCCGGCAAGCAUGCCUGCGGCGAUGCGGCUUCUUCCGAGUUCCCAUCUCAGUUCACUUAUGGUUGGUGUGCCAUUUACUUUCCCUCCUCCCACUCCUCCGCAGUACAACUUUUCUCCAGAAGAUGUUGGCUUCCAGCACAGAGAGAUCUACCGUUUGUCGUCCCCAGAUGUACCUAAUGAACGAUAUAGAUUUGCUGCUGCUGCUGCUGCUGCAGAUUUGUCACCAUCUUCGACGACAACACAGUACUAUUUGAUACGUCCCCCUAGAUUGGGCUUAUUUAACCCCAUUCAGAUCCUUGGUCUAAAGCUUAGUUGAUGAUCUGUAUAAAUUUCCUGAUGUAAAUAUAUUUUCAUUGAGACAAUAUUACUAUCUUAUUUCAACACUUUUUUA